rnacentral:rRNA from 1 species
ACUCUGUGUACUACACUCAAUUCUGAAACUACGACCCACCCAGCAGCCAGAGGGAGGGAAGGAAAGGGGGAGAAGGAGACACCGCGGCGGGCGGCGUGCAAUGGCGACGGCGACGGCGACGUGCCUGCUGGCGGUCUGGGCGCUGGUCGCCGCCGGCCUGUUCGGCACGGGCCUCGCCCGGGCGUCCGUGGCCCCGGCCGCCGUCGGGAAGGAGCAGCGCGAGUUCGACUACUUCGCGCUGGCGCUGCAGUGGCCGGGCACCAUCUGCUCCUCCACCCGCCACUGCUGCGCCGUCAACGGCUGCUGCCGGUCGGAGGCGCUCCACACCUUCACGAUCCACGGGCUGUGGCCGGACUACGAUGACGGGACCUGGCCGUCGUGCUGCCGCCACACCAGCUUCGACAUGGACAAGAUAACGCCUCUGAAGCCCACUCUGGACAAGUACUGGCCGUCCCUCUACUGUUCGACCUCUUCCACUUGCUUCAGUGGCAGGGGCCCCUUCUGGGCUCAUGAGUGGGAGAAGCAUGGAACAUGCUCGUCCCCUGUUGUUCAUGAAGAAUUACAGUACUUCACCACCGCCAUUGAUCUCUACCUCAAAUAUAAUGUUACAGAAAUGCUGGCGACUGGAGAUAUCCUGGUCUCCAACGGUAAAGAAUAUGCACUGAGUGAUGUCAUUGAUACCAUCAAGCAUGCUUUUGGGGGCUCACCGCAGAUCAUAUGCAAGAAGGGCUCAGUUGAAGAACUAAGAUUAUGCUUCACCAAGGAUUUGAAGCCUCGCGAUUGCCUUACUACUUCGGCAAUGUACAAGAACCUAUCGAAAUCAAAGCAUUGCCCUCGAAAAAUCUCCCUGCCAACAUAUGAUCCCAUCGUACUCACAAAUUCGACACUGGAGAUUGUCCCAGAAGCCAGCGACAACGGGUUGUACUUCUUUACAUCCUAAGAUACGGAGUAUUGCUAGGCUAUGAGGAAACAGAUGCCUUCACGGUUCUGACUGCUUGCAAGACCUGUAGCCACAGGUGCUGGGCACUGAGAUCCUGCUAAAACGGGUCUUUGGUUUGUCCAUACUAUUUGUAAAGGACAGCAUUCCACAUUAGAACAACUUGGUUCGAUUAUGUUCUGGAUAUUUGUAAAACUGCUGGAUAUCAAACUCAGAUUACUCAUUGUAUGAAUAAUGGAUGUUAAAUGUACAUAUUAGUUCAUUGGAUUGCUGAAGGAUGUGGCCUGUCUAAACGUUUCUAAUAGUUAUGAACGGUUCAUGUCACAUGCAGUUUGUUCCGGCCGCAGAGUUUAGACGUACUAGCAGUUGAUUGAUCGCCACCGAGACAUUCUUGAAUGAAAAAUUGAGUUCAGGUG